AUGGCAAAUCAUAGAUGAAUCAUCAAAUCUCAUCAUUGAUCAUAUGAUAGAUUCAAUCAGCUCGAGUUCAUAUAUGAUUUUAUAAAAACUCUUUUCUAUCAAUCACAGUACUAUGGCCAUAAACUUAAGGAUUCAGCCUCUUAAAUCUCAUAGGAUACUCCCUUCUACUAGGAUCGAUAGAUCUCAUCUUGAUCCGCACCCUACUCCUAUAAUGGAUCAAC
rnacentral:lncRNA from 1 species